CAUUAGAUGACUGAAAGUAAGUAAUGGUCUCUUAAACCACUCAAUAGUAAAUUAACGACUACUUCUAAUGG
rnacentral:tRNA from 1 species